rnacentral:tRNA from 2 species
GGCCUCGUAGUUCAACUGGAUAGAAUAUCAGAUUUCGGCUCUGACGGUUGGGGGUUCGAAUCCCUUCGAGGUCACAA